ensembl:piRNA 21ur-2878 ncRNA
UUGUGUCGGUAAAAAUUAAGC